UUACAAAGAUGCAUACUAAAUAGUGAUGAAAUUUUCCCAAAUUUCUUCUUGCAGUAUUUCUGACUACAGUUUUUAAUAUUGUUGCACCAAAUUUCCAUGUAUGGGCCUUUAAUAUUUGAACAUUUUUUUUUCUUUUUUCCUGUUGUUAUAUGAUUGAGUGUGUCUACAUGAAUUAAUGCAGCUGAAAUGUUGAAGUGCUCACCUCCUCCGUCCAGAGCGCUUUCAAAGCAUGCCCCCCUGAUUCAUGUCAUGAAGGUCAGACCUGAGAAGAUAUACAUGGAAUCAUUGGUAGUGGUGGGAAGAAGGUAAAGAGCAUUAUAGAAGAGACAUGAGUAGAUGCUAUUGACACAGAAGAGGACGGGACUGUAAGAUCAGAAGAAAGCCUUGUGAAAAUCACCUCAAGGGAUUUGUUAAGCUUGGAAAUAGCUAGAGCAAUUAUAAGUAAUAUGACAAUGGUUCAAGUGUAGGUGAUAUAUAUAGGUAUAUGAUUAUGUCCUUUGAUUUUUUUUUUAUUAUUGUUUAUUUUCUAUGUUUUUAUACGAUGUGAUCAGGGAAGCAUCCUAAAUUUUUGUACAAAUCUUGUUUAUCUAAAAUAGGAUUUUGUUUGUGGACUUUUUAACUUUGUUGAUUAUGAAGUUGUUAAGUGGUUAGAGUUUCUGGCCUUUGAACUCUCACUCAGGAAUUGUGAGAUCAAGUCAAUAACAAAUUAUGGAGCUUUUGUAGAGAUAGCACCUAGAUGGGAGGUACAUUUUGUUCCUCUUUUUAGCCAAUAUAUCUACUCUUAAAUUCCUAUAGAUGGGAUGCGAAAUUGGGAAGUGAUAAUGCUCUCUCAUUCUUCUCUUUCAGGGACUUUGUCAUGUUAGUGAGUUGAGUUCGAAUUAUAUAGCAAAGCCAGAAGACGUAUAUUGAGAUGAUUUCUUUGGAGCAAUUCUUGACAACAUUUGUAGUUGAGGCCUUUAGAAUGGAAGAAUGUAUUUCACUAAUUUUUGUAUACAUUUCUUGUUUUGUAUUUAGUGAUAAAGGAAUCUGAAUUGGGCAUAAAUUAUGUUGUAAUAUGAUUUCUUAAGCCUAGACUAGUAGACUAAAUAUUGUAAUUACAUUUGAGUAAUUAAUAAAAAUCUA